rnacentral:snRNA from 1 species
UAACUCUGGUUUCCCUUCAAAACGUAUAAAUCUUUCGCCUUUUACUAAAGAUUUCCGUGGAGGGGAACACUCAAAUGAGUCUAAAGACUAUUUUUUAACGCUUUGCUUCGGCGGAGCU